rnacentral:rRNA from 1 species
AGAACGAACGCUGGCGGCAUGCCUAAUACAUGCAAGUCGAACGAACUCUUCGGAGUUAGUGGCGCACGGGUGCGUAACGCGUGGGAAUCUGCCCCUUGGUUCGGAAUAACAGUUGGAAACGACUGCUAAUACCGGAUGAUGACGAAAAGUCCAAAAGAUUUAUCGCCAAGGGAUGAGCCCGCGUAGGAUUAGCUAGUUGGUGAGGUAAAGGCUCACCAAGGCAACGAUCCUUAGCUGGUCUGAGAGGAUGAUCAGCCACACUGGGACUGAGACACGGCCCAGACUCCUACGGGAGGCAGCAGUAGGGAAUAUGGACAAUGGGCGAAAGCCUGAUCCAGCAAUGCCGCGUGAGUGAUGAAGGCCUUAGGUUGUAAAGCUCUUUACCCGAGAUGAUAAUGACAGUAUCGGAGAAUAAGCCCCGGACUAACUCCGUGCCAGCAGCCG